AUACGUAGGGGGCAAGCGUUGUCCGGAUUUACUGGGCGUAAAGGGCGCGUAGGCGGUAGUAUAAGUCAGAUGUGAAAGUCCAGGGCUCAACCGUGGAAUUGCAUUUGAAACUGUGCUACUUGAGUGCAGGAGAGGAGAGCGGAAUUCCUAGUGUAGCGGUGAAAUGCGUAGAGAUUAGGAAGAACACCAGUGGCGAAGGCGGCUCUCUGGACUGUAACUGACGCUGAGGCGCGAAAGCGUGGGUAGCGAACAGGAUUAGAUACCCUGGUAGUCCACGCCGUAAACGAUGAGUGCUAGGUGUUGGGGGUCGAACCUCAGUGCCGCAGUUAACACAUUAAGCACUCCGCCUGGGGAGUACGACCGCAAGGUUGAAACUCAAAGGAAUUGACGGGG
rnacentral:rRNA from 1 species